rnacentral:misc_RNA from 1 species
CUUGAGAGUAGUGGCCUAACAAGGAGAAUGAGCAAUGAAAGUUUUCCCGAAUAAUAAAUUCGGGCCAAACAGUGCCUUUUAGACCCAAACGCAUGCAAGUGAAUUGGGUUCACAAGUCCAACCACUAGAAUCGUUGCCUGUCCUUAAUUCAGGCUGUAAGGCAAGGUUAAAGACGUGAAGGCCGAAACCCCAAUGCUUAUCUGCUCUACGUCUGGUGUGGUAGCAGUCAGAGAACGCAAUUAAAAAAACGACUGGUAGGAUGGGAAGCGCACCGGCACAAAUUCCGACUAGUUUUGGCCAUGAACUGAGGGCGUGUCUUCGUUGCCGCCUCGUCAAAACCUACGAUCAGGGGAUACGUUUCUGUUCCAGUUCAGAGAGUCCGGGUGCGAGAAUUGCCCCUUCUUUAAGAUGGAUGAAGAUCAUGAGCGUGUCGUAGAUUGCACCACUCCUAACUUCAAUGGGUAUUUUCUAAUUUCUUUUUUAUAUAUGUCUUCUGUCAUUGUGGCGAAGCAUUGCGUUCAAUUGCACUGUUCUUAACUUUAAUGGUAAUCAAAUGUGGGUAGUUGAGCUAGUGCCUUAUAUGUUUCCUGUUUUGUGAAUGCUGAUGUUUUCUUCAAAACAUUCAAAUUCCAAGCUCAAUGUGACCUUUACAGCAAAUUGAUUGUUAAAUUUGGUAACUGCAUUCUUCAUCGCUGAAUGCUUUGCUUCCUAGGAUAAUUUCUGUCAUGGACCCAAGUAGAAGCUGGGCCGCUCGUUGGUUGAGAAUCGGUAUGAGUUCAACAGUUAUAUUGCUUACGCGUUUCUCGUGCCAUCUUAUUUCUUUUAUUUCCCUUUUUUGGCUCUCUUUUUGAGAUGCAUCGAGCUAAUUCUUGUUCAUUUUUCUACCUUAUUUCUUGCCCUUGUGAACUUCCUUGCAUAUGAACACGCUGUUGUUAUUGCAGGCUCUAUGCAUUAUGGUCUUAAAUAGGGGGUGUAUAUGAGUUGAGAUACUCAAAAUCAGUUUGCAAAAUAUUCAAAUUUGACUUGUUAUUAAUUGAAAUGAGUCAAGCUCCAGGAUUAUCGUGCUUGAGUUGAGUGGCUUGUGGGUUCAAUCCAGCACUUAUAUUUUUUGUAUAAUUUUAUUAUAUUAAGUAAUAAUGUAUGAGUUCAAGCUCACUUGAGUUUGUUGUAACUUUAAUUCUACAUUAAUACAUAAGUUCAUUGAAAUUUUUAAUGGUGCUCAAGUCAAAUCAAGCUUUGAGUGUUUCUUGUAUCCCACUGAGUUGAUUUCAAGUAUGAAAAAUUAUAUUUAAUUGACAUCACGUUUGUUUAUAGUAUUGCAAUUUGAACAUUUAGAAUUUGAAUAUGGGUCUAUGUGAGCAAAGGUUGUCUUUCAUUUUAUUUUAUUCCCUUCUUUGGUCUAAUAGUCCCAUAUACUUCACUUUUUAUUGUGUGCCACAAGUUACAAGUAUGAGGAAUAUUGGGGGCAUUCUAUUUAUUAUCUGUGACAGGGUGACCAUUUUUCUGAAUACAUGCAAAAACAAAGAUAUGCACACAAUACUUAAAACUUCUUAGGGCAUAAUUUGACACCAGCAUCAAGGGCUGAUACUUCAGCACUUGAAUACUCUCUUCCCCAUCUUGGAAUGCUGUCAUUUUGAUGUGUUGGACCCGUGCACCUCUGUUGUGUCAGGCCAUUAAUCCUCUUUGCUCAGAUUUUUUUUUUUAAUCUUUGUCAGGACGAUUUGUCCCUGGUUGUUACACUCUUGCUGUCUCAGAGGCACUGCCAGAGGACUUACAGAAUUUAUGCGAAGAUGAACGAGUCCAAUACAUUCCACCAAAACGUGUAUAAGUGACCAGUUGGCAUAGUUUUGUCGAUCAUGUUAUAAGGUUGCAAGAUGUUCUCUUCGCUGGUUACUAAUAAAGCCUCUUCUUUUAAUAUUUGAUACUUGUAUGAAGGUACUAAACGUGUCUGAUACUAAUGUUGAAGCUUGAUUUGUGACUGGACAUUGACUUAUUAAGAACUCUUUAAAAAAAUGGAAAGCUGAAUCAGCCAUUUAUAUUUGUCCUCUUCAUAGCUAACAAGUUAAAGUUUAUGGAGGUCCAUGUAGUGUUACUGUUUAUUGUGAGGACUCUUGUGGUGCUAUAAACUGUGGCAUUUGAAGUGGAAUUCCAAUCUCUAACAAUGAGAUUGUCCUCGUAGUGGCUACUGGCUAAGGUAACCUUUCUCUGAAAAUUGUUCUGCCCGGCUAAGAGGUGUGUGUGGCAUUUUUGCAAGAAAAACAAAUUGGUUGAAAUGCCAGGCGGUGUUGCCAAAUGCUAAUGUAGAAUGUAGAAGGGAGACAUGAGUCCGUGCAAUUGUAAAAGAAGUAAUGCACAUAAGCUAUGAGAUGCAAUUGAUCAUUUUUUUUGGCAAUAAUUAUACCAAAUUGUGAUAUAUAAAUUCAGGGU